CCCCCAGAGUUUCUUAUUUAGUGGGGCCCGUAGAUAGGAACACGCGUUUCUAGUAAGACGUCGUUGUCUGCUGCUGCCGUUCUAAAGUCGCAUUUUGAACGCUGCUGGAGAGGAGAGCGUUUUGGCUGAGAAAGGUCUAGCAUGAAUGCUAUGAAAGACCAAAGGAGGAAGGAAAUUUACUUAAAUUCGUAGAAUUCUGGCUCCACCAUUCACCAGGUGAAGUGCAAGAGGUCAAGGAAUUACUGAUGCUGAUGGAUUAAUGACCAGUUAGGAAUUGUAAAAACAGAAAAAGGGAAGAACACUUCAAUGAGAUUUCUGCCCAUAAAAGCUCCCUGAAAGAGUGUAAAAAAGAAAUGGAGAUGGUGACGUGACUUAUUUUUAGAAGGGAACAGAGGAGAUGCAUUUGGUAGGACCACUGGCUGCGUUUCCAGAGAGGCUUUGCAAUGAGCAUGCACCGAAGAACAAAGGAAGGACUGUACAUCUCUGAGUCACCUCAGGAAAUGUACAUUUGUUCCAGUCAGACUACUUGUUGCUUUACAUGGGCAGAGGUGACGUCCAGAUACCUGCUCUUGCAAGAACGUUGAUUGAAGCCUCACUUCAGUGUGCUCCAAGUCUCCAUGUCCCUCCUUUGAUUGGAUCAGUGGGCUUAUUCUCACACUAGUGACUGGGUAGUUGAGACACUCCUCUGAAGAGGUGACCUGGAAGCUGAUACCUUAAUGAAAGAAAGACACAGUGUAGAUGGAGAAGAAUGCCAUGUUUGAAGACGUGUGCUUCAUCUAGAAACUCCAAGGCAGUCUCUGAAAUGUGCAGAAUCCAUGAAGGCUACCUUGCCCAAUUUCCACCUCCCUCAAAUCUCACAAGGACAACCAACUUAUUGGGUGCCAGGAGCAGAGGAUUUCCAAGAAGCCUUCAAGAGUUACUGAACUCAACAUACGGGAGUCUUAAAUCAUCCAGGAUCUCAGGUAUGAUACCUGUCGUUCAAUGACGAUAGAUAGACCAUCUCAGGAAAUUCUAUUUUGGCUGCCCUGCCUGACGGAGACUUUGGCACAAGGGUGGUAUAAAGUUCCUGUCCUUCCUUAUGAAAACUAGGCAGUGGAAAUAGAUAUAAAAUCAAAGAGCACAAAGAAAUUGGCUUCUUUGUUCAAAUAUUUUCUAAAAAUAUGUAAGUACAAAUCAACUAAAAAAAAUCUAGUUUUAAGGAUACUGCUAUUUAUUUUUCCUUUUUACUAUAUAUAUUAGAAAACUGUCAAUUCUAUAAGGAUCAAAACAUUUUGGAGCAUAAGGCUGGCUAGGCCUUAAGCAAGGCCUAAAUUCGUGUCUACCUCUUGUCCCUUGGAAAUGUCAUAUUUGAUGAUAUGAAAAAUCUUAGGCCAAAUGGAUGCUACAAUGUGUACAACAGUAUUCUUCAAGGGUCUUUGCUCUUAUUAAAUAUCUAUUUUUUGAAAACUGGGUUGUGGAAAGGAGCCUAAUUACUGAAUUAUCUCAAAAGUUCCUAUUAGUUGCCAUUAGACUAAUGGCAUUAGUUAUAAGUCAUUACUUAUUAGUCAUUACUAAUAAGCAUUAUCACUAAGUUUUUAUGACUAAUGUUCAAGGGGAGAUUUGGUAGUCAGAAGCACAUUUUAGAACAAUCCCUGAAUAGUGAAUAACUGAACACAGAAAUCAUGCUUUUAGAUCAUCACUUCUGAUUUACAGAAAUCUCUUACGGUAUUUCUUAAGUCUGCGUUUCAAUCCAGGUUAGUGGGCAUUUCCUGAAGAGAGGGGGCAUUUCUUGGUGCACUUGUGAAUGAGGGAAGGGGAUGCAAUUGCUAAAGCUUCCAAGGAAAUAAAGGAUAGUACUUGGAGCCGAGGAAGAGGAGAGAGUUAAGUGUGAGAGUAGGAGACACGGAGAGAGAAGAGUACAAUUUCUCGCUGGUAUGUCUUUGUAUACUCUCACACCUGUCAUUCCUCUUCUUAUCCAUUUUGGUUCCUCAAGCACAAGGGAGAAACUGCACUCUUUCUCAUAUUCCUCACGGUCAAAUAUUCUAAUGGUAAUGAUCUUCCUGUGGGAACACAAGACAAAGGCAAAACAAAUGGUUGGCGUCACACGCUCAUGCUAGGUGUUCACCAAGCUGCAUGUUACUGUGAUGUUAUGAAGGUUGAACUGGCAACACAUGGACCUCCAGAAGUAUGUAAAAGGGCAUCACGGCUACUCCCAGCUGGCCCCGGUGACGUUUUCUUCCAAUUUACCACUUACACCAUUUCUUCCUGCUUCACUUAGCCGUCAGGAAGUAUCCCAACUUAGGAAGAGAGAUCAGAAAGUUGGCUUCAUUUUGGCCUGGCAAACAUUAGCACCAUCUUUCCCAGAAAUGGAGGCCUGAUUGACUGCACUGAACAUUCGUUUCUCAGCCCUGCAGCGUGCAGAGUGGCCAGAAUUGGCUGAUGGAGCUACAGGUUGGGACCGCUGUGCCCCCCGGGGGUGAGAUCUAUGCCCUGUUACAUAGGUGGAGGGAUGUGUGUGUAGUGAGUCACGUCUGAAGAGUGCAGGCAUCCAGGGGUGGCACAGGCCAGCAAGAAGCUGUUGGGCUCAGCCCUGGAGCAGCUCCCCCACCUUUCUUCUCACUCAUCUCCACCAGGCGGGGCUCUCCAAUCUCAAGGAAGAAGGUCUUGUUUUUCUCAUACUCCUCAUCAUCAAUUACCUUGACUGAUAUUGUUUUGCUGAAACAGAGAAGAGUAGAAAUUGACGAACAAGGGAAAGAGAAGGAACAUAGAGAAGAGGAAAGCAAGGUUAACGAGCUGCACUUCCAGACAAACUUCUGUACUUCCAGAGAACCUUCCGUACUGUGACUUUAUUCUUCCAGAAUGGGUGUGGGGUAGGUCUGUAAGAUUAUAGAGGUCACCCAAUGCAUAGCUCCCCUGCCCAAGGCCAUGGAAUGAUUUUAGGCAACACGUAGCACUCAGGACUAAUAGGUUUAUCAUCAGCAUCAUGAGGAGGAAAAGCAGAAGAACACAGAUCACAAUAAUAAGAAAAAAAAUAUUUACUUAGUAAAUGACUUAAUCGUAGGAUUGUCUGAGCUGUGCCCGGGAAAUCAAUCCUUUAGAACAAAUAGGUAAAUCACAUCAAAAUAUCAACAGAGGUUAUCUGUGAGUGACUGGCUUAUGGGUCAUUUUUUAAUUUUUUUACCUUUAUUCUGCUUUACUGUAUUUCCAAACAUAAUAGUUUUAUCAUAAAGUUUUAUUAAAGUAAUAAAUGUAUAAGACCAUCACAAAAUAAAAUCAAACACUUUUAUGUUACCCCACCCAAUGUCCUAGAAUCAGACUCUUCUUCAAGUUAGUCAGAUUUUCCACCUAGAUCUCAAGGGGAAGGUGUUCAUGUUUUAUUUGUCUUUCUAAAGAAGAAAGCUGAGGCCUCCCAAUAGCUGUUUUGGAAGGUGGGGGAUGGGGAACCAUGAUGUUAUAGUUAUUUUCAUCCCUCCAAAGUUGAAUUUCAACCCUUACAAAAUAUACCAUUUAUACUAUUUCCAACUCUAGCAAUACACCAAGGCAUUUAGUUAAGAAUUCUUCCUGUAAUCCAUCCAUUAGCACUUGUAGCCUUACGGUCCUCUGGUUGAGAGUGACUGACAGACAGUAGGACAAAUGCAAAUAUUAUGCAAAUGUCAAUUUCCCAUAAGCCUGAUGACUGUGAAAAGAAAUCUAAUGUUACCUUCUAAUUAAUAAGGGCUUAAUCACUUCCUAUAUUGCAACUUACUCAGAGCCCCCUAAACACUUGUUUGUCCUUGAAAAAAAUUUUUUUUCCAGUAACAUUGGCCAAGAACAUUUCUGACUAAAGUUUUUGAAACAAUGAAUUUACAUAGGCACAGUUUUAAUGUCAUGGACGUUAUUUAGUUUGAGUGGAGUUUUCUAGAUCUUCUGGAACAAAUUUUGUUUAUAAUCUUUUUUUUUUCUUCUAGUUAUUGACCAAAGCCAUCAAGUUUCAUUUAGACCUAUGUAUGACAAGGAGCUUCAGUGUUCUUUCCUAGUAUUAAAUAAAGUCCCAACCCAUCCUAUGUGUAAUCCCACGUUUUUUUGAUUUGCAUAAAUAGAGCACCAUAGAGACGACUGGAGUAGCCUGGCUAACCGGGUAAGUCUGUUAAGAAAAAACUACCGGUUUUCUUCCCAAAAAGCAACAUGAUCACUCAUUCACAAAUGAAUGGAAGUAACCAAAUAACAUUGUUUCAUAUCCUUUGUGAAUUUAAUCCUCUAUUGUUGUAGCAGCUUUAUUUUCUAUACUCUGGAGUAUGAGAAAUAUAAAAUCCCACACAAUUUGUAUAAUACAAUAAGCACUGAAAGUUUACCUUUAGAUUAUCAAUAUUUACUAGGUCCAUAAUCCUUAGAAAAUGUUUCAGGAUUUGAUAACUGUAAGACUGGAAAAUCAAAGAUGAAGAAAGAGAAAACAGUACCUCUGUAGGUGCCUGGCAAAGACACCUAAAAUAGAUGGGAUUUGCAUAAUGGCAUAUUAUUUCAAAAUCAUUAAUAAUACCAUCAAUAGUAUCCCUGACAGGAGGAACCAUUAAAUUAUAAAUUGAUUUUGGUGCUCUUGCAUAGUAAAACUAUUAAUAGGCAACUUGAUUAUUGAAGGACAUUUCAGUCCAUUUAAAGAGGCAGGAUAAAGUUAAUCCUUAUGAAUUAGCCCUUGAAAUCAAGAGAGGCAAAAAUCAGAAGAGAUUGCUAAUGUUCACCUUUCACUUCUCCCCCUAGCAAAGGUAGCAAAGGUGAAAAUGACUAACAUAAUUUGAGAGAGAAAGAGAGAGCGAGCACGAGCAGAGGAGGGGCAGAAGGAGAGGGAGAAUCUUAACCAGGCUUCAUACUCAGCGCAGAGCCCAGCCCAGAGUCUGACUUGGGGCUCGAUCCCAGGACCAUGAGAUCAUGACCUGAGCUGAAAUCAAGAGCCAGAAGCUUAACCGAUUGAGCCACCCAGGCACCCCCUAACCAAUGUAAUUUUUAAGGGAACUUAUCCUUAGGCUGUCCUUUGCUCACUUUUCAGAGCCUAAUGCCACUUCUUCCAUCACAGGGGAAGUUACAUGAGAUGGGGUGGAUUUGGUAAGGACUCCAGUUAUUCUAGUUUGAUAAUCAGCAGAAGCACACCUCUGUCCCUCAUAAUUUUGCAGUGGAUAUAGAAUCUCAAGGACUGAAAAGAUUAAAGGCCCUCCCAUUUGCACCCCACCCCCACCCCCCAUUGCCACACCAAUCCCAUAUUCAAAGGGCUUUUGCUUUAUAACAGGGACUCCCUCUCCCUGAGAACACAGAUUCCUGUUGGCUGUCCUUUUGUUCUCUUUACUGACAGGUAGCAGUCAAGUCAAGUUUUAUUUCUUUAGACUGAAAGGUUAACCAAAACAAGACUGGAAGACUCAGGUAGACAUAGCCCUUCAACCAAUGACAACUCUUGUACUCUGAUUGCCCUGAUAAGGAACAAAUAGAAAAGCUGGUAUCGUGCAAUUUUCAUCUACCAUAAUUAUGAAGAAGGUAAUGAGAACUUUUCACUUGAUUUUUUUAAAACAUCUCUCUAAAGUUGUUGAGUGUACUAUAAAAAAGAUGUUUUCUGGAAACUAGCAAAGUAGUUACAGAUCUUAUGAUAACAUUAGAUGAUUUCUCAAUAUGGCCAAAAUUUUUAUAGUAAUACACCUUGGUUCCAUUUCUAGGGGGGAAAAGAUUUUAAGGAAGAUCAAUUUGUUUAGUGGAAAAAUACGGGCUAUUCCUUUUGAUUUCUUUGUAGUGCUUUUUCUCUGAUAAUAAACCAACAACUAUUUUGACUUCUCAGUCUCUCUGGUAUCUGAUGGGUCUCAAAAGACCCAAACACCUUAUAACAUUUGGCCAAGGAGUUUGUAUAUCUGGUGGUGACUCAGGCAGAUGGUGGGAAAGGAAAGGAAGAGGUGGCUUUUGUAGCAGAGGUUAAAAAAAAAAAAGAGGAAGAAGAAAAUCUCUGUAAAAUAUAUUCUGAUAUCUCAUCAGUAAGUCAAAGUAGCAUCAGGGCCUCUUUUUCUAUGUCAACCUCAAUUUGCCCUUCUGUGGUUUUUCUCAAGACUGUUCUUGAUGUUAAGAGAAGUGAGAAAAAGAUGAGUUUGGGAGGUUAAAGAGAAGAGACUCUACUUUUAAAUCCCCAUGUAAAAGAUUUUAGUGAGUAUUUCACAUAUUUGGAUACUGCAAUGGCUAUUUUAACAUUUAUUUAAAAAAAAAACCUAAACUCUCUUUAGGCCUACUGAGAAGUCAAUGAACCUAUGAGCACUUUACAUUUCUUAAUUCACCUGUCUUCAUAACAGCCCUAGAAGUAACUUCUGCUGCUUAACAUUCACAGAGGAAACAAUGACUCAGAGAAGUUAAGAAACUUCCAAGGUCACAAAGUGAGACUCCUAUGACUGGCUUCAAAGACCAAUACCUUCAAUUAUAUGACGCACAAAGUUCCUUAUUCAUUCAGCUGUGCAGUAUUUUUAGGACCACUUUAAAGGAUCUGGAUCAUUAUUUUAAAUUAAUAUAGAGGUUUAUUGUUUUAUCUUUUUGUUAAGGAUUGCCUAGAUUAGCAAUAAUAGAAUUUCAAUUCUAUUUUUAAAAGGAGAGCAACACAUAUAUUUUAUGAUGGCUGUUCUAAAAAGUGGAAUCCCUGAGGAGAUAGAGGUCCUAUUAGAAGUAAUCGAAAAGUGCCAUGAAUAUGUAGGGACUCACCAAUUCUGAGAACUUUGAGCCACCGAUCAGUAGCCUCAGCCUCAUAGGGAGAGGUGGGAGGCUUGAUGGAACUUCAGAAUCUCAGGCCUACCCCCAGGCCCACCAAAUCAGAUCUGUGUAUUAAUAAGAUACCCAGAUGACACUAUGCAUGUUAAAGUUUGAGAAUCACGGAUCUAGAGAGGACAAUGCGUUCUUUUACCAAGUCAGAUAACAAAUUAAGAGUCUGGUGAUAGCUGGGCUUGUGUUUCGGUUCUGUCUGCAUACUAGAAUCACAUGUGGAGCUUUGCAAACUUUAAGUGGGGGGCUCGGCUCACUCGAAAGCAGUGAAAUCAAACACUCUGGUUGUGGGGCCCCAGCAAGAAUACAGUUUUUAAAAGUUUUCCAGGUGAUUCCAAUAGGCAGUAGGGGCUGGCAACUGGCUAAUGGGGAGCAAGACUGUAUGCCUGAUGUUUAAAAGAAUGUAUUAAAUAAAGAAUAGAUAGAAUUGUGAGAAAGUCAGAGUCAAAACUAAAUUUCAGGUCUAAUUAGCAACCUAGACUGAAACAUGGGAGAAACAUUUUGCUUUGUCCUUCACUAAAGUGGAUUAUAUAGACUAUUUAAAUUGCUCUUUUCUCCUCUGAGGAAAUGCUGGUCUCCUCAGGCCACCCUAAUAGUAUAGGUGAGAAAACACCUUGAGCAUUCAGGCAGCAGGGUUUACACUCAUACAGAGUUAUUUCCUUCCCAACCAAGUGAUAGGAACUCUGGUGAUAGGCUUUUACACAAUGGAAGUUCUACUGGGAGAGUAGGAAAAAUAAGGAUUUCAGUUGCCACAGAAGAUAGUAACGCCUCAUAUCCCCACUCUCAGCUUCUGAGCCAUGUCAGUGAAAGGCAUGUUGGUGGAACUGAAAACUUUCCACAUUAGGGCUACCAUACUGAGACUCAAGAAAGAAGUGACCCAGGAUUGAUUACAUCUGAAGGGAAAAGAUCUGGCAACGUCUCCGACCACAGCGUGAUGUCAUCAGUCCAUGGUCUCAGCCAAGAACUCUAAAAGGUAGAGGAAAAAUUAUCUUUCCUCCCCUACACUUCAACAAUGGUUGAACCAUGGAAACAUUAUGCUGAAUGAAAGAAGCCAGACACAGAAGUUCAUAUAUGGUCGAGAGCAUCAGACUGGGAUGUGGAUUACACAAAUUCAUUAGUAUCUUGAUUCGGCCACUUUCUAGCCAAGGCAGACAAGAGCAGUGAGCGGUUUAAGGCAAAAGAGAUAACAAGCGUUCAACAGCAGCAACUGCUCUUAUGUCCAAGGGCCAGCCCUGAUUCAUCACAAUGGGAUGAACCAGACUGAACGACGACGAGGCUGGAACAAGAUCUAGCCCACUGGACCAGAGCAGGGAGCUGGAAAUGACAGAAGCUGUACAAAUCCACCCAGAGGGAGGAGGCCCAUUCCAACGCAGAAGAACAUGGCACCCAGAAAGAACGGAAAUGGUAGAGGGAAGCUAGGUAAACCACUGUGUGGGAUGGGCAAGAAAGCAUGGAGCUGAGUGAUGUAGACUUCAGGAUGAAACAAAACCGAGAGGUCAGGCAAAGCACUGCAUACAGCAUCACGUGGCAGAACCCUGUUCUCCUGAGAGGUACUAAUCCUCCAAGGGAAAUGAUUGCAGUAAUGAUGGGCCUUCAUCAGGAUGAGGUAAAGUCUUAAAGUCAAGACAGGAAGACAGAAACUAGAUAGGAAACCAAACCUGACUUUCAGAUAGAUUUCAGAAACCUAGCAGUUUAUUGGGUUUUUUUGGUGUGUGUGUGUGUUUGUGUUUGUGUGUGUUUUUCUUGAGUGCCUGGAACAAUUUGUAGCAAUUUCAUGGUGUUUGGUAAAUUACAGACUGGACUAUUGGAACUGGAGAACAGGUCAGAAUCUGAUGAUCAACAAGCUUAUUGUGAUGCUGAGGUCCAGAAGGCUAGGAGGGUUUCUAAAAUCCCUCCUACUUCAGGUCAGGGUGGGGUGGGGCUAAGAAAGCUGGGUGGGAUCAGUCCAGGGUGGUGGAGAACUACAGGAAAGGGAUAAAGCCGAAAAAAAUUUUGGAGAAAAAAAUUGCAGCCACCACAAUGUCUUUCCUUGGGCUCUUUCUACCUGCUUCCUCCAAAAUCUCUUCUGUAUGGUCCUAUCUUUCCUUGUGAUUGUGUACAAUUAUAAUAUACUUAAAUAUUUAAUAUACUUAAUGUAUUUAAAUAAAUACAACUAUAAUAUAUAUAAAUAUAUAUUAUUUUCCAAGGAGAUAGCUGACAUAAUAAUAUGGAAGGCUAAGGAAUUUUGUGCAGAGGAGAUAAGAAACUCUGAUCUUGACAUAUUUAAUUUAAGCUAUGAUGGGAAAUGUAUUACGCUAUGUGUGGAAUAUGGGACUUCAGUGAAGAUGAAGUGUCUAGAUGAAGACUCUCUAUAUAUUUGCCAUGAAUGUUGAAAUGGAAAUUGAAGCCAUUCAUGUGAGUUGAUAGACUCUUUCCAAAGGAGUGACCUUGGAAAAAAAAGCCAAGGAAGAUAGAACCUGAUACUAUAAUAUCUCUGGUAACAGUGUGAAAAAGAGGACACGUGCGCGCAUGCACACACUCACCCACACACUCACACACACACACACACACACACACACACACACACACCCCAAGGCACCAGUCAUGGGAAGGUGAGAAAUUGAAGCUCAGGGUAGGAUGUCUUUAAAUUUGAAGAGGGAGGCUCUCACAUGUCAACAUCAGAAGCUCCACAAUUGUAGACAAAAAAGAGGGGUCGUGAUUUGGGCCAAGGAGAGACUUUUGGAAAUAAAGCCAAAGAGCUGGUUUGUGUAGUGAUUCAAAAGAAGAUAGGAAAGAUUUUUGAGUUAGUAAUGUUGUUGUUGGUUUUUCUUUUCCUUUUUUUUAAAAAAAUUUAAGUUUAUUUAUUUAUUUGAGAGCGAGAGAAAGCACAAGCAGGAGAGGGGCAGAGGGAGAGGGGGAGAGAGAAUCCCAAGCAGGCCCUGCUGCCAGCACAGAGCCCAAUGCGGGGCUUGAACUCACAAACCGUGAGAUCAUAACCUGAGCCAAAAUCCAGAGUAAGACGCUUAACCAACUGAGCCACCCCUGUGCCCUAUUUUUAUUGGUUUUAACACAAAAGAGAAAGUAAACAAGAUGGCCUAUAGUAUGGGUAGUCAUAGUGAAUGGCGACUCUCCACAUAGGAAGUGACCAGAGCAUGGAUUCCCAGUAAAAAUAAGAUUUGUGCCAUGUUGAGAAAUCAGAUUGCAGACUUGUGUGGUCCUGAGGCUUACGGAAGGAACAUAACAUUAGACCAACAGGUCCUCAGAUCCAGCUGACCAUUAAACUUUCCUGCAGAGCUUUUAAAAACAAACACACAGAUUUCUUGUCCUUACCAUAGACAGAAUCUUUGGAUGUGUAGGGGAAAGGUGAGUGGGGGGCUCUCUCGAGUUAAAAAUCUCCUCUAAGAAUUCUAAAGCAAUGAUCCAUUGAUUGUCAUGAGGAAAAUAUUUUACUCGCCCUGCACCUCUCCCCAGCUUAAGAGGCUCAAUAGCAAAUAUAAUUAAGAGAAGAGCCUUUAUAUAAACCCAUCUUUCAGGGGUGCCUGGGUGGCUCUGUCGGUUGAGUGUCCGACUUCGGCUCAGGUCAUGAUCUCACAGCUUGUGAGUUCAAGCCCCGCAUCAGGCUCUGUGCUGACAGCUUGGAGCCUGGAACCUGGAGCCUGCUUCAGAUUCUGUGCCUCCCUCUCUCUCUGCUCCAACCCACUUGCAUUCUGUCUCUGUCUCUCUCAAAAAUAAAUACACAUUAAAUAAAUUAAAAAAAAACAUCUUUCAUGUUGUCUCAGUUCUCAUAUUUAAGUAGUUCCUGAAAUUUAUCCUUUUCCAUAAUUUCUUAGAUUCAUCAGAUAUGACAUUAGCUAUUGUUUCAGGGUGAAAGCGGAAGGUGGUUCUUCACAGCCUUUGUGGAUUCUGCCCACUGUAAUGUAGCAGGCCAUUUUUCUAUCAAGUCUAAUCUCAGUACACAGAUUAGUAGUAAAAUCCAUUUGUUAUCUCAUUGAGUUACUAAGUCUAUAAAGCAUUCUGCAGAGGGGGUAUUCUUUAUGGUAGACCAAUUUGUUCUGCAACCUGUAUAAUUGUCCCCUUAGAAGAGCUCAUGGAAAUGACCCUGGACACAUCACAUACAUCAGUGGCUGCAAAUAAAAUGAAGUCUGGCAUUUAUCAUCGUGGAAUUGCACCAACUUGGUCUGGCACGACUCCACGCAGUCGUUUGCCCCAGUUCCUAUUUAGGGGCCAGAUGAAAUAAUAUUCAGUGUGCUUCAACAGUCAUAUCCUCCCUGAUAAAUUUAGCAUUUACUGAGGGAUCCACUUUCCAUGCACGCGGUAACUGCACUAUUGUCUCUGAGCCCAGAGAUUAUUGGCAGAAGUAACAGCUGGUGCCUCAGGACGGAGCUACAAUUUUAUGGUGUGGUGGCUAAGGCUGGAAAUGGAACUAGUAAACCACAAAUGCCAAAGACAUCAUAAAGAAAAAUGUUCCUUAGGAAGCACUCGCCAAUUUCUGGGCAAUCAAUUAUUCCCUAACCUACACAUUGACUUUUAUGAAUAAAACAGCCCAGGAAAUGCAUUUAAUUCAGCAGACAGUUUCGAUAAGGUGAGGUGCUUUCCCUCCUUAGCAAGAGACUUCUCUUCCACACCAUCCUCUGGCUUGCACCCUUGCCCUCUGGUAGAUACACUUUUGGGUUCACUUCUAUUUCUCAAACUCUUUUGUAAACAAGGAUGGUCAAGCAAAACUGAGUGCUCUUUGAAUAAAAGAGAACUGAGUAUUGAGAGUGAAACUGAUUGUCUCCAAGACUCUUUCCUGUUUGGAAAUUUUCUCAUCUGGCUACAUCUUUUCUUCCCCACCUCUGUGGAACCAAGAGAGUGGUGUUAUCUGUGAGGUUCAAAACUGCAUCCAUUGCUAAAGUUCCAGGAGAGAAUGCCUGCCCAAGAAUGUUCCUUGGGGAUGGCUUUAGCAGAGGAAAAGCAUGCCUCUCUCCUGUAUCUUCAGUUCUCUCACUUGCCUCUAGUGCCAAAUAGAAGUCAGGUUCAGAAGGACCCUCAUGAGUGCCCAUCAGAACCAUAAAAUUUAGCUUAGGUCCAAACUUCUAGAAGGACAUGCCAGCUCUAGUUAGGCCUUUGAGAAGAAGGAAAUAUUGAGGGUCUUUGAGUCUAUUUCUCUGUGAAAGCGUAAGGUGAAAUUAUGUAAUUAAAAUUUAUUUCUACCUUAAACAACUGACAACAUUGUGUGUGUUAACUUCUCAAAUGAAUUUGUGAUAGCUUAAAUGAAAGAUAUAGGUACAAAGAAAACAUGGGUAAAACAUACAGAUUAGAAAUACAGGAGGAGUUAAUGAUAGAGAAGAUAAUGAUAGCAAAAAACAAAGCAAAACAAAACAAAAACAACAACCCUUUUCUUGGGAAACAAUUGUGUUUGAAAUGUAGCAUCAGUCACAUGCACACCAGCUUACUGACUGAACAUUCUUUCAGGGAAUGCUACCAAUCUGAGCUGGUACUUGAAUUUCCCUAGCCUAGAAAGAUGAUAAAUAAAUAUCAGUAUUAUAUAUUUAUGUAGGGAUAAUCUCUUAAAUCCCCAAACACUUGGUGACAUAUCUAACUUCUACAAGUUCUAUAAAAUAUUUCAAGUGUUAUUAAUUUCAUUUGCUAUGAGAAAAUUAUUUAUUGAUUUUUUUUUUUACCAGACUGCAUUUAGUAAAACUGACUCAAACUGUAAAUGCAGAAUGUAACUCACAAUGAAAAAUGAAUUCCUCAGCGGUAUGGAAAGUGAGGAGAAUCUGAAGUCAGAGACCUUGAUAUCUGAUAUACUCUCCAGUUUUCCCAGAAGCAAUCUUUGGAAGCAUGUAAAUAACACUGGCAGAAUACUGGGUGGUUCCUUCUUUUAGCCACUAAUGACCCUGAAGUUUAGACUGAUUUUCAAGUGGAGCGCUCGGGCCCUUAUUAUAGUGACAAAUUCAUAUUAACUCAAUUGUCAGUCCUUUUCAUUAUGGAUACAGAGUGGAAGGGAUCUCUCGGCACUCAGUUCUUUGAGCUUGUAGAGGCACUGCACAGCUCUCUGGAAAGCCAAUUGAAGAAAAAAUGUAAAAGGGGUUCAACUAGGAUCUGUUUUAGGUCUCAUAACAUGAUUGCUCAUUAAGUUUCCUGAUGGAAGGCAUUAUUUUUUAAGUUCUGUAGUAAUGCACUUAAUAAAUACAGAAAUUGGCUAGUAAUAUAAUGGAAAAUGGUUCAAUUUUAAGACUCCCAAAAUUAACAUGAUCCCAUUUCAAAGUGGAGUUAAAAAUAUUUCCAUAUUUUUCAGUCAUCAGAUUGAAGGUAUGUGAUGAGGCCUGCUUGGAAUCCUGGAAAACAGAGGAAUUAAAUAAUAUAAUAUGCAUUAUACAGCUCUGCUUGCUGUGGUGGAAAAGGAAGCCACUCACUCUGAGACCCCCGUUUGCAUUAAUGUUGGCUCACUGGUUCGCUUAGGAUGGGGCUUAGGGUACAGGGCCAUAUCUCCUGAAGUAGGACUCCUCUAGACCAACACAUGAUGCUCUUAAUGCAUCACAGUCAGACUACAGAGAAUAGGCCUCCACAAGGAUUAUAAGUAGAGCCUGUCAGUACUAUACCACAAGUGAUCUAAACACUGGCAGCCAGUAGGAUUUAUUUUCCAAUGGAUGGAGUCUACUCCAGAAUAAUGAUUAGGCAACAAAGGAAGGCUUUAAUGAUUACGCAAAAUUGUUCAAGGUGCAAAUCCUUCUUUGUAUUGCCCAGACCAUAUGAAUUAGGAUUCUGGAAGCAAGCAGAGCAAAUUCUCCUAUACUACUUGCCAGGAAACUAUGUCCUCAAAAUUCCUCUCCUUAUUUAGAAAAACACAACUACAAAAAUUCAGCUUCAGAGUUUGUGCAUUUUGAUACAUGUUGAUGAUUCUACCUGGUAAUUGAUCACUUGGAAAUUGACAGGACUUACAUUAGGCUCUUGUUCUCAGUUCCAGUCUUAACAGGGGAACAAGGAGACGCAUAAAGCAUUACUCAUCAGUGGCCGUAUUUGGCAAAGGCAGGUCUCUCCCCCCUACUGUUAUCAUUCAUCCUGAUAGAGCCGUGACACAGACCAGAUGUCAUUUCAAUGUUAAAAUUACAUUGUUUUCAUAACAAAGUCAGCUUACAUCACUCUUAAAUAGAUCACACUAAGGUUCUUCUGUAUACUGUCAUGGAGAGAGUGAGCUAGAUCUUUCCAGAGGACUUGCCAAGCACAAACUAUAGGAGAAGUUAAGAUUUUCUCAGGGCACUCACCAGCUGGCUCACAGCCUAUAUAUCUCCAUAUCUCUCUGCAGCAUACUUCGAGUCAUUGCAAUAUAGAAUGCCCUUUCUACUGAUUUCUUUGAUUCCUGGAGGAAAUGACAGGUACUUGUUCUUGUGGGACGUAGAAGGCCAAAGAUGUCAUUGGCUGGAGCUCUUUUCUUGCCUGUUUUCCUUGUCCUUUCUUCUGGAGCCCUAGUGACUUUGAAUUUACAGUCCACUGUGUAACAGUAUCAUGUGCACUACUUUUCCCAUUGGACAGUUGGAACUUGGAAGAUAACAAUUUUGAACCCAAGGUCAGAAUCCAUAUGGACUCAGCCCAUGGAAGCCAUGAUUUUGGAAGCUUAGUUCCUCCUCUCUCCCUUAUCUCUGUUACAGCCCCACUUGCCUUAUCACCUCUGUGGCACUGAUGAUAUGUUCGGGGAACAAGGGCUGCAGGCACUAACAAAAAAUCAUCCUCAGGGGACUCUCAUGGUAAAAUGCCAAAUGAGGACAUCCUGUGCUGACCGAGUCCCUGAAACACUUCAAACUAUUACGAUGAACCUAAAGAAAGAACGUUUUCCUUUUAGUUUUGGAGAUUUUGCCCUUAAUUGACCUCAUGCAUCUAACUAUUCACAAUAGACAUUUUUAUAUGAAAGGUCAUACUGGAAAAAAAAUACAAUCCACUUAGAUACCUGUAUAUGAUUAUGCAGAUAGAUCAUCUGCCAAUGAUUAUGAGCAGGAUUGGUAAAACAGGCUAAUAUGUUGAAUAUUCUAGGGAAUGCUAACAUGUCUUUAGUUCCUCGCCACACUCCCUUCUCUUGUUUUAUUUUCUACCCCCAGUUUUUUUUUUUUUUUUGCCUUUUAAGAAAAUAGAAAAACUCAAAGGUAGACUGUAAAUUACCAGAUGAAAAUACCCAGAAAUAUUCUAUCCUUGAAUGGGGACCCUAAUCCCUCAAAAAAAAGAUGAAAAAUUAUUCAUAAAUAAUAUACUUCUCCUUGAAGAUUGCUAGCAGAUAUAAAUGCCACCAUUGUUUCUCAUGGGUCUUAGUGAAAUUUUGUGGUUUUCUGUUUCUCAGUUCCUUUUGACUUAGUUAAGGUAUGACAGCUUGGGAUAUAAUCAGUGUUUCCUACUUAUUCAAUGCCCUUUAACUCUAUAAUCAAAACAAAAUUAAAUUUACUGACUUUUUUUUUCUUUGCUGUAUAUUUGAGAUUAUCUAUUCCCCAAACCAGAGCUUUUAAGGCAAGUAUUUUAUUUUGAGGAGAAAUGACCAUGAAGCUUGAUCUAGGUGAUCAACCUCAGUAAAGUCAUCCCUUGCUGAGAAGCACUGCCAUUGCCUGAAGGCACAUCUCCACUUUCCCCGAAUGACUACAUGAUAUUUGACUGAGGUCUGGCUCUGAAUAUUCAAACAUAGAGGGUCCUGCAUACUCUGGUUUGGAGAAACUUAUGCUGAUAUGGAUCAUGUAGACCAAAGGGCUAUACGAUCUGGAACAUGUUUGGUCAUAAGAAAUGCUGAACAUUUUAUGAUUAAGUGUGUGUGUACAUGUGCGCCUGUGUGCGUGUGCACACGCAUGCCCCAGACUUUUUUCUGCUAUAUUCUCUUUACAGGAUGGGUUUCCAGAAAUUAGAUCAGCAGCAUGCAAAGAGCAAGGGAUAAAGAUGAAUCCACUGUUGUUAACUCAGUGUAGUCGGGUGAACAGGUAAAAGUGUCAGAGUUCUCAUCAGGAUCUGACUGUAUUUACUUUUUGAUUCUCUUGCCCCCACCUUCAUCAUGCCUUUGUAAUGUCCAAAGCCUAUUCAGUCUUUUAAGAUAAAGCUAUAAGGCCACCUCCUCCACAAAGCCAUCCGUGCUUCAUCAUUUAGAAUUCCCUGUUUUCUGAAUUUACUGUCACAGUUAUUUUGUAAAUUCACAUGGAAUGUGUCACUUUCUGAUUUGCGAGGUGAGUAUGUUCCUGCCUGAUCACGAAUACUGGGCUAGAAACACUUCGAGAACAAAAUCUCUCUCUACUUCAACUUUGUAUUUCUGAGAAGGGAAAACAGUCAAGAAGUAUUUAUUGAAUCAGAAUAUAUGACUAUAGCCAUAUAUAUGUAUUUUUUCUUCUACGCUAAUACCAUUCCCCACCUCCCCCCCCAACCCUCACCAUGCCAUUGUAAAACAAAAACCAAAACAUUUACAAAAAGCACUGAGGCUCACAACUUAACGGUAGCAAGGUCAGGAGUACCACCGGAGCAAACUGUGGACACCCACACAAGCAGGGAGAAGCUCACCUGACAGAGUCAUUGGAGUCAUGGCUCUGGGCAACCAAUAUGUCACUUCAUUAAAAAGUCACUGUUCAUGAAUUGCAAUUACCAUUUGGUUUGAAAGCAUAUGUUCAUGACUAAGAAAUUGUCUCUAGGCCCAGAGAAAGGAUCUUGCUGGCUUUUCUAGAGGAAGUGAAUGCCAACCAGAAUGGCAUCUAUGUAAGCAACAUUAGGCAUGCUUUAAAAUGUGCCCCCGUGAUGAGCCAUGAGAACUGACUUGCUGCAUGAAAGAACUCAGUGACUCUACCCCCAUGCUACGCUCCGUGCCCACUCAGACAAUAAGUUGGGAUGGCUGUUUUAUGCUAACUCUUCACAUUCAAUAAAACAAAGGGAAAGCUUUAGGCAGCCUUCCCUUCUUCUCAGUAAUUGACGUUAUUAGCGUGCUUUGCUCGGGGGGCCCCCCCUUAAGCAUGUUUAUUUGCAAUUCCUUCCAAAUGUCACUUAUUAGAAAUUCCGCCUUCCUGAUCCUGGAGGUAACAAACCUGGACACACAGCUUUCAACAGCAAAUGGAAAGAGGCUCAGUGUGUAUCCAGAGAUAAGCAAAUUAAAGGGCAUAAAAGACUGGGGCAAUUUACAGCUAAAGAGCAUCAGUGUAAUGUAUGUAGAAAUCACGCACUCUAUUGCCUCAUAACAUUGCACUCCUACUGGCUCUUUCCCUUUACCCGGUGUGGUUGCCAGCAAAACCUAAACACGAAGUGUUCCACAGCCAUGAACUAGUCCCAAAUCACUGGACUGAAAAAAUGCCAUUCUGUAGUAUGCCUACUGCUAAAGCUUCCAUUAGUUGCCCAAGAGAGUGGCAAGAAUAGCUCAGAGUAAGUCUUAGCCAAAAAUACGUAAUGACAACAUAUGGAGAAAACCAAAAGAAUUAUAAAUGGAAAAAGAUUAACAAAUUCAGUGCUGCUAAUGGGGCGGGGGGAGCUUUAUGAGUUCUUUAUGAGCUUAAUGAGUUCUUUCAUUCUAACAUGGUGAGGGUUAAAAGCAAUUUUAUAAACCUAGUUUAAGAGAGGAAGGAAAAAGCUGCAGAAAGAUCUGUGUGUUCUUUAGAUGACAUUUGAAACACACUUACAUGCUUUUAAAAGCCAUUUGUUGCUGUUACCAUUCAGGUGGUAUGCUUGAAUGCUCAGAAAACAGCUUAAAUUUGGGAUACAGUGUUCUAUCCUUAAAGGUUGGUUUAGAUCGCUACUUUACAAUAAUUGGGGAAUUAUUCCAGGUGUAAUAGGUAUAUAGAAAAUUCUAAGGUCUGAAAAUUCCCAUAUAAAGGCAUUUUAAAUUUGUCAUAUUUCCCAUGAUCCUUUAACAAAAUCAACUACAGAUUUUCAGAUUAUUUUCCCAUCCCGAUUAAGGGUAACCACAAUAACAACUACGUACUUCAGUGUUUAGCAGAACCGACCACACAUUUUUGCCCUUAACUGAAGGGAAAACAACCAUAUGGACCUUGUUCUUAGCCAGGGCUCCAUUAGCUAAUUGAAUUGACAAAGCCCAAGCAGUGAGAGACCAUGGAUUAGCCACAUGUUAAUGAUUCCAUUCCUUUGGCAGAGCUAAUGGUGUCUUGUUUCAGCGCAGCCUAGAGAAGUUUGCCUUAUUUUGAACAGGUUAGACAGAUCAGUGCAAUAGUACCAAAGCGCACCAAAUAUAUCAUUGUUUUGAGGAACAAGAAAAGGCAAAGUUAAUUGCAGUCCCAGACCUUAAAUGCCCGAUAUACCCAAAAUAUUAUUCUAGCAUAUAAUCAAUAUAAAACUUGUGGAGGAGAUAGUUUAUAUUCUUUUUUUCAUUCUCGAUCUUUGAAAUCCAGAAUAUAUUUCACAGUUGCAGCAUUUCUCAAUGUGGAUUGGCCACAUUUCAAGUAUUGAGUCCUUAACAGCCACAUGGAUUGGUGGCUAGUAUAUUGGACAGCAUAGGAUUGAAUGGUGACGUGUCACUCCCAUGUCUUUCCGUUGUUCAUACCCAUAGUCCUUUUAAGAGUUUAAUGCUUCAUGUUUAUUCCUAAACACGAGCUGGACACAGAGCCAUUCAUAAUGGUAAAUUAACCUAAAGAUAAAAGAAUAACAGCUAGCUUGCUCCCUGUUAAGGAAAACUGGAUCUCUAAUGAAAAACACAUAAUUUGUUAAGGUCUAAAAAGUACUAGGGGCAGAAUAUGGCCAUUUUGAUCUGUUUUGAUCCACUUUGAAAUAAGUGAUCACAUAAUGCUUCAAGCCCCUUAAGGCAUGAUGUGAAAGUGUGGGUGUGAAUAAGCCUCUUCCAAAAUUUUGUAAACUUUCUGCUUCAGUUGUGUUGUGUACAACUAGCCUAGGGGGUAUAGUGAUCACAUUUUCCUAUCUGGAAAUAGGGAAACAUGAUCUGACGAAUGAAUUGUGCCUGUGUGAUUUGUUGACACAAAAAUCCUCAUCCAGUCAUGAGACUAAAAUAUGUUUAAUGGAAAGACUGGACUGGAAAAAACAGAGUUAUAGAAAAUUAGGUUGUCUUCAGAGAGUUCACCAAACUUAGGAAGAGUAAAUAACUAAGGUUCUAGUUGGCAACGAUAAUGGGACCAACGAAAAGAUUAGGGCUAUGAAGAACCAACAGAGAAUCCAUUAGAUUGCAUCCUUACCUAAUUUCUGGGAUGCCAGUGUGAAUAAGCCAGUGUUAUUACAAAUAACCAGAAUUUUAAAAAAUUGCUGAAUUUUAUUCCUAAAGUCAGGGUAUCUGCCACUUCCCUCAAUAUCUACUUCUAGAAUUAAAGGGUGUCAUUUCAUCACCUUGGGACAUUUAUUUUAAUCUGUCCUGAAUGUAAUUAUUCCAUCAAGCUAUUGUCACAAAAUCCUAUUAACUCAAAGAGUGAUUGCAUUAUUCACUCCUUACUCAUUCCUUGAUUUCAGUGCCUAUUAAAUGCAAGUUUCAGGCAGCCAAUAUGAAGGAUAACCUUAAGGGUUCUUACAUCUUUUUGAUUUUAGGCAUUGUUUUCUACCUGGUAUUAUGAACAUUGGUCUCAAAACGAGAAUGUGCUAAUAUUAUAGUUCAUCAUAAUGAUGCGUCUAGGCUUAAGAAAUUCAGAGAAGGCCUAAUAAAAUUUAUUAAUUUUAAUAAAAGUUAAAAAUGAGGUUCAUCAAGUGACUGAAAUACUUCCUUUGAUUAUCCUAAAAGGCAAUCAUCAAAAGCACCAGAUUAGAACCAGUAUAAUGAUGGAUUCCUACACAAACAGUGGGAUUCUACUUCUUGAAUAACCUCUACAGAAAUCAGGAUUACAGUUUCUUAAACCUGAACAUGUGAUCCAAGGUAAGACAAAAGAACUUUUUAUCUUGAUUUGCAAAUUUAAUUACUCAAAAUGACUUUGAACACUUUACAAAAUGGAUUAUAUUUAUACAUUGAACAAAUCCACUUAACUAAAAAGAUAAAAAUAAUAUGAAAUGAUUGCUGAAGAAAAUAUGAAGUAGGAGGUCCCCAUAUCAUAGAUGCUGGUUACAAGUUUCUAAAUUAGAAUAUGGAGUCAUGACUUCCGGAAAGUUAGGUUUAAUCAUUUAUGUGGUUGGCCCUAGAAAAUGUCUUAAGUUGGUGAAAUGUAACUUCUCUCCCCCUUUUUUAGCAUCAGUGGGGUGCUCCUCUUUGGAACUCCCACUAGUUGCAUAUCCAAAGAUAUGACCCUAAAAUAUAUCUCUCUUCAAAUUCAAAGUAUGCUGCAACUCUUUGAAAGUGGCCAGAUUGAAGUAACCUUAAGGUUUACGAAGCAGACCUCCUUGAUUGCCAUAUCACUGGAAGGACUUCUCUUUCUAUAAUUCAAGCUAUCCAAAAGAACUACUAUAAAUGUUUUAUGCACCGCGAGUACCUACAGCCAAGGAAGAAGAAGAGAACAUAGAGGGUGAAAGGAGGGGCAGGAACAAGAAAGGACAGUCGUAGUGUCUAGCUUAUAGAAAGAACCCAAUGUAUGCCUUUAUCCAGUGAGUAUUGAAGCACUUUCCUAAAUUGAUCUUUGGGGCCUCUCGCUUUCUAGGUCUAGACCUCUCUCCCUGGUCAAUGUUCCAAAGGCCCACCUCCUCCUCCUUGCAAGAAUAGAUCUAAAUAUCAUUUACACACACAUGACAGGUAACUAGUUAAAUCUCUCCUGGGAAUCAGUAGGCACUCAAUAGGGAGUGAAAUUGAAGUCAAGUGAAUACUGUGAAUGUUAGUUGUUCAGGUACCACUGGGCAGGAAGGAAGGCAUGGGAAAGAGAUCUUAACACUUUGUUUCAGAGAGCAUGGCAGUUUGUCUGGGAAUGCAACUGGAACCCUUUUAUUUUUAAUUAAAUUAAUUAAUUAAUUAGUUUGUUUUUUAAUCCUGGGGUUCGGGUUACUGUAGUUGGAAGUAAAAUUAAACAGAGGGUAACAGUUUUCUCUUUGGCACAUUAAUCAAUUGCUCUGCUUAGGAGGUCCCUUAAACAGAAAAGAGUGAACAAAUUUGGGCACCAGAGGAAUCCUCUGGGCCUGAGCAAUCACCUCCUCUUACCUGAUGGAAAGCAAACAAAAACUGAGCCAGGGGGCAAUGAUGGUCUUUUUCCCCUUCUCUUCUCAUAUGCCCAUUUAGGCUUAAAUGUUCUUUAAAGAAUUCAGAACUCUGUGCACUACAUGAAGGCUUACUUUUGAGGGGAAAAGAAUCAGAGAAUGUCAAAUUUAGAUUUUUUAUAAAUGUUUAUUCAUUUUUGAAAGACAGAGAGAGACAGAGCACAAGCGGGGGUGGGGCGGAGAGAGAGGGGGACACAGAAUCUAAAGCAGGCUCCAGGCUCCGAGCUGUCAGCACAGAGCCCGACACAGGGCUAGAACCCACAAACCCUGAGAUCAUGACCUGACCCGAAGUCAGGCACUCAACCAACUGAGCCACCCAGGCACCCCCAGAGAAUAUCAAAUUUAGAUUGUUCUGUCCAGAGACCAAUGAUUCCAUUUUUCCUUCCCCCACUCAUGCCAGAUAUCAUUCAUUUAUCAUUCAUUCGGCAAUUAUUUACACACACCAAUUAUGUGCCAUAGAGACUGUUCUUGGAGCUAGAUAUAGAUUAGUGAAACAAAACAGGAAAAGGUCCUUGCCCUCUCCUUGAGGUGAGACAUAUGUAUACUAUAUAUAUAUAUAUAUAAUAAUGUAUAGAGUAUGUUAGAAGUGCUACGAAAAACAUAAAAGGAGAGUUAGGGAGAGGAGUGUUGGGUGGGGGGUGGCGGUUGUAAUUUUAAAUAGAACGUCAAGGUGGGCCCUAUUGAAAAUUUUGCACUUGAGACUUCAAGGAAAGGAGAGAGUUAUCUAUACAGAUUGUUUUUUCAGUGGGGGUUAGGGGGAGGCAGUGGUAAGGAAGAUCAUAUGUCCUAGGGAAACGCCUGUCUUUUUAUGGUUUAAGGAGGUUACUGUGGCUGCAGAAAAAGUGAUACAGAGGUAAGAGCAGGAUAGGGGAGGAGGGUGGUCGGUGAGGCCAAAUCAAGUGGGCCACAUAGAGUCUUUUUUUUUUUUUAAUUUUUUUUUUAAUGUUUAUUUAUUUUUGAGAGAGAGAGCGAGCACGAGCAGGGAAGAGACAGAGAGAGAAGGCAACACAGAAUCUGAAGCAGGAUCCAGGCUCUGAGCUAUGAGCAUGGAGCCUGACAUGGGGUUGGAACUCACAAACCAUGAGAUCAAGACCUGAGCCGAAGUCAGAUGCUUAACCAACUGAGCCACCCAGGUGCCCCGGCCACAUAGACUCUUGAAAGGACUUUGGUUCUGAGUGAAAUCAGGAACAUUGUUUUGAGCAGUCAAGAGAUUUAAUUUGACUUGAACUUUAAUGGAUCACUCUGGCAAUUUGUGGAGAAUAGAUCCUUGAAAUAAGAAUGUAACCAGGAGGCUACUGCAGCUAAUGUAGAUAAUGGUGCCUCUGAUGGGAAUAGUAACACUUAGGAAGGCAAAUUUGUAGCUAUAGACACUGGCAGAUGGGUUGGUGUGGUGGCAGGAGUCUGUGGUAAGUCUAUUCUGAUUGCUUCUCUUUCCUCAGGGAGCUAAGAAGCCAGAUCAUCAGCUGAGAGUGGGGACAGAGGAGAGGAAGUGCUGGCCCUAAGAGUAAAGAAGAGGCCGGGCUGAAAUAGCUGGAUAGGGAAGAGGAAAUGAAAACUAGGGAAAGACAGCAUGACUACUGGCAUCAACAGUGCUUACUGCUCGGUACUGCCUCCGUUCCCACAGGUAUCAAAAUCUUCCUUCGCCCAGAACCUCCCAGCAGCCCUAUUGAUCGAUCUGAGUUGGCAGAUGAGACAAUGUGUAUUUCCCAGUUCUGAUCUAAUCUGACCUACUCCUAUGGUAAAUUGAAGUCCAGAGAGUGUCUUUUAAACUGCCAUCUUUGAGGAUCAUUUGAAUUACCAAUUAGCAAGUGCUCUAGUAAGGAAAACAAUUAGAAUGCCUAUCUAAAUAUCAUGCACCACGAGGGCCUGAUAACUACGGCUCCUGGGAAUUCAUGCUAUAGGAUAAGGGUACCAAGGGCUGCAGCUGAGUGUCUGAAACAUGAAUCAUAUUAAUGCAGUGGGAAUAAGACACCUGCUCAAUGGAUUUCUAAUUAACUCUUAGAUCUUUACAUUCUGGCUCAAAGUUAUAUCUACUGCACAUCCUGGCUUUAGUUUUCAAAAGGUUCCAGGGAGAUCAGCCAGAGUUUGUCUUUUGAGUAGACUGGCAUGACUUUUCAACAGGACCCAAUAGAAUCACAUUUGAUUUCAAGAAAUUGAGGAGAUAAUUAAGAAUGUGCUAGUCACUACUGAAUGUAGUUAUGUAUGCUUGCUUCUGCAAUUUAGAAGGGGGAAAAAAAGGUCCAUUCAAGUCAUCUUAAAAGGGUUCUUGCUAUAAAAUAAAAGAGGAGGGGUAAAUCUGCAACGCCAAUGAUUUUCUUGCUUUACCAGUAACUUAGUAUUACAUAACGAAUGCUGAAUUAUCAAAGCAUUUACUGACAUUUCUUCACACACACUGGGAAUUGGUUUGUGGCCUUCAGAACUCUCCACUCUUCCUAACUGCUUCUCAAAGUUCUCUCUCUCCUCUCCUUCCCACUCAGUUUACUUCUUGGAAGCCUUGUUGACCUUUGCAAUCAUUUCCUCUCUCUUACCUGAUCUUCGUCUGCUCCUAAGUCCAUCCCUUUUCUCAUGUUCAGCAUCUUAGAAUGGAAAAGUUUAUAAAGCACCAUCAACACCACAAAGCCACAUGCAAUUAUGAACAGGUGCCCAGGGCUAGCUCACACAUGACAGAGUCCUUGUGGGAUUUUAUCAAGACUCUCAUUUUCAAGAGGGCUAUCCCUUUUAGAAAAAUCAAGCCAUUCUUAAGCGGAUCUUUUCUUUGUUUUUCCAGUCCAGAAAUAAUUGCUAUGUCAAGUUCAAUAAUAAAAUGAAUGGCUGCUGUUGACUGAGGACCUACUCUGGGGUGUGGAGCUAGUGAGACUCUCCUAGUCAUCUCACAACAACCGUGCCAGCCUUGUCCCUUUUCAUUUUUUUUUUCCUGUGGAUACUCAUUAGAUCUGAAAGUCCUACAGAUUGGCAUCUCUAAAGUAAAGCAGUUUGUCCUAUAACAUUUUUUAAUGAUGUUAGGACUUUUAAAUUCAGUUUGUGACAUUUUGUUUGUCAUUUUAAGGAGCCAGUGGAACCUCCAGUUGGUUUUUUUCCAAUAGGCAGCCACUAAUGUGGACCAGAAGUUUACAACAAAGAUACAGAUGAGAAAAUCAUCGAUGCUGAGAUGCGAGUGAUAGGCACAGGUCUAGCAAAAGAAAGAGAUCCUCGGAGGCACAAGAAAUGGCUGACAGCAGCAUCUUGGGAGAUUUUCAUAUUUUGGUAGUGGGAAGAGAAAGACAAGCCAUAAAAGGAUCCAGUAGGGGCAAUGGAAAAAGCUAAGUAGCAGACUUCUGAAAGAGUUAAGGAAGUCGAAGGAAUAACUCUUUAAGGUGCUUCAAGUGGUCAGGGCUAUAGAGGUCAGCACCAUAGAACUCUUAUAGAUAUGGAACUUAGAAAAAAAAAUCAUGGAACUUAGGAAGAAAAUCAAUCAUCCUUAAGAGGGUUAACAGCAACAUGGUGGGUGAAAAAGACAGGUUCCAAGGGACUAAUAAUACUCUUAUUUCAUGGGAGUGGAUAGAAACUUGGGGACAAAUGGAAGAAUGUUACUUUUAGAGUGAAGGGUAGAGUGAUUCAUGGGUAUCACAAUAAAAGCCUAAGAAGUGGUACAUGAAUUGAAUAGGGGACUGUAUAUGAUACCAUAAUUCUAUACUUAAUAAACACUCAAUAAGCAAAAUGUAAAGCAGAAAUAAAAGAAGAAUGAAAUACACAAUGAAAAAUGAUUUAGCCAUAAAAAGAGGGUAUAAUGCUAAGCAAAAUAACCCAAUCAGAGAAAGACAAAUACCAUAUGAUUUCACUCAUAUGUGGAACUGAAGAAACAACACAAAUGACCAAAGGAAAAAAAAAAAGAGACAAACCAAGAAGCAGACUCUUAACUACAGAGAACAAACUGAUGGUUACCAGAGGGGAGGUGGGUAAGGGACGGGUGAAAGAGAUGAUGGGGAUUCAAGAGCACACUUAUCACGAUGAGCACUGAGUAAUGUGUGGAAGUGUUGGAUCACUAUAUUAUACACCUGAAACUAAUACUAACCAUUGUAUGUGAACUACACUGAAGUUAAAAUUAAAAAAAAAAAACUUGAAAAAAAAAUAAAAGGAAUUUUGAAUAAAUUCAUAAUAUAUUCUCCAGCACACUGCAUUUCUCUUCAUUUUUAAAAUAUAUAAAUAUUUUAUGUAAUUUAAAUAAACAGUGAAGAAGAGGAGGAGGAGAAAAAUAAAGAAUCUCAAUAUGGCUCAGAAAAGGGGGCUGAGGAGGGGACAUAAUUCUUAGGCAUCCUAAGGGAGGAGAUGUAAGUGAUAGUUCCUUUUUCUGGUGACUAUCUGAUACUUAUCAUUAAGUGCUAGUCAGAUGAGAUGCAGUAUCUUGAAGGCAUCAUGAACACCUCAAAGAAGGAAGGGUAGAGCACUAAAGAGUGAAGGCUUUUGAGCCCCCCUUUUCCCUCCAGGAAACAUUAAAAUGUUUUCAAAUUCUAGGCCAAGUGGCUUAGUUUCAGAGUUCCUCUUAUGCAGCCGUGCUGUCUCCUUCCAGCAGCCACAUGUCCUAUGGAUGGAUCUAUAAAUUCGGGACAACAAAGUGAAUGUGUAGAGGCCGGGUUGGGGGUGGGCAAGAGAGGUAAGACUGAAUCAGGGCCAGCGGCUGCCUACAGGCAACUCAACGGAACACUCAUGUCUGAUUUGUGGAAGUGACAUCAUCAUUAGCUUCAGAUCAAUACUGGCCAAAAUUGAAGAACUCAACUGUGGUGUGGCAGCUUUAAAUCUUUAAAAUAGAUGACCAAGUUGACUCUUCCCUGUAGCCCCCCUCUUGGACUUCAGAACUGAUGGCACAUUUUCAUUUCUAAUUUUCAGCCUCAUCCAGUUCCUGGUUGAUACUAGCCUGCACAGAUGAUUUGCUGGGACAAUCACAGUGUGACUCGGGAAUAAAACCUGCUGCUUUAGGUUAAAGAUGUCUAUUCAGAACUGCAUUCCUUGCUUUCUCCCCCACCCCAUCCUCCUGUGCACAUGGUCUAUAGUCCAGGGAAAUAAAAUAGCCUUUUCAAGACGAAUGUGUUUUACCAGUAGAUGGAGUAAAUGCUUCCCAGAAUCCUGUACCUACUAGUUAAUGGACUGGUGUCUCAAAAAGAGACAAAGCCACCACCAACAACUGAUUCUGGAACUUAAUGUAUAAUAGCAGGUGGCGAACGUGAUCAAUGACAUGGAUGGCUCUUGCCUGAAAUGUUUUGUAAGAGAGGAGACACUUAUUCACAUAUACAUAUAUGAAUAAUGAAUAAAUGAAUAUAUGAAUAAAUAUAUGGAUAGAUGAAUAUAUAUGAAUAGAUAGAUAGAUGAAUAAAUGAAGGUAAGCAAGAGGACACAGAGGAAACUUGGAGUACUCACAAUCCCUUCAUUUCUUCACAAUUUUGCCUAAAAUGAGCCCAGCACCUGGGGUACGAUCCCAAGUGCAAUUUUUCCCCCCUUCAUCUUAAAUGUUUUUCAAAAGGGAUCCUUUUACUCUGUGGUUUGGUGAAAGGGCAGGAUGGGGGGAAGUCCACUUUGCAGCUGGUACAACACAGAAGAGAGCUGCGUCAACUCUCAAAGGCUGCCAAGCCUUUCUUUUGGCAGAAGCACUGGGGAUAUUACACUGGGGAUAAUUUAUCACGCUUGCUUUGGAUGUUCCAAAUUUGCAAGCCGUGGCUAAUUUCCAGAGACAGCAGGGCAAUAAACUCCACUUUCCUAAGAGAAAAACAGUAACCGCACCACCUUUCAAUUAAAUGGGCCAUGGAAAACGAAGAGCCACCCAUGAUCAUGGAUAUUCAGAAAUCCUCAGAAAGCCUGAGUGUGGCCACUAGUGGUGGGAAUAAUGACUGUGCACCCGGAGAAGCCUGGCUUCACGGAUAUUAGGAAUUGGCAUGUGCAUCUGCUUCCACAUUUGUCUCUUUCUGUACAUUUUCCUGUAUGAACACACAGGCACACAUGAACCCUCACGUGUGCAAGACCAAAACACAAGUAUUGGAUGCUCAUGGAGGAAUUAUAGCCUCUUCUGUUAUGCAUCAGGUGAAGUUUUCCUCACAGUCUCUGGGAUCUCCUUUUCUCUGCUCUUUUCUUAAUCUCCUGGUGCCUCCUUGAUCAUCCAAGGCCCCUUGGAGCAGGAAGCAAACAACUCCUCCCUCUAGAUCAGUGAGCCACACUGGGCAGUUGUCCUCAACCCCUCAACACUUCCUAAAUAGGUCUGCGGUCUUUUAUGUUUCCUGAGCCAGGUGUUCAGAAACUGUGUAUCGUGUUAAUGAAUCAGUAUUUUACAGGGGGUUCCAAGCCACCAUUCAAAGGAACGCAGAUGGUGGGCAUUUUGAGUGGGUGACUGGGGCGUAAAAAGGAUGGAUGUUUGGGGGUGAGAAUCUCAUCCUAAGUGGGAAGCCUACUUUCAGAUGGUCCUACUACUUUUGUGGUCCAGGAUCAUGCCAUCUGAUUACAUUAACAUCUCAUGUGUUCAUUACAGAAUCCAGACCAGGACCACACGGUGCCUCUAACUUCAGAGAAAGUGAAGCAACCCCAUUAGUGUGAGGUUUACACAACCUUUGACUCAACGGUCAGUUUCUCUCCCCUCUCCAGUUCCUGCAGGAUUUCAGUAGGACACCCCCAUCUUUGGAUGAAAAAUGCUGACCGGUGUGUUCUGGGAAUCUUGGCUCACCCCGAGGCUAAUGAGCACAGUGUCCUGGCUGUGUGCCCAGCUUUUGUGGCAGGGAGUUACCCCCAGUGCUUUUUUUAACUUACACUAAAGUUUGGACUUAGAAAGCAAGAUCUGCCAGCGCAUCAGAGGAAAUAGGGCUUUCCCUCUAUAACCAUCGACAUCAAAUUCUAUUUCAGCCUGCAGCCCUGGAAUCAGCCUCUUUGGUCUGAUUUAAUCGCCAUAUUCACACCCAUCUCUGUUGGCGAAGUUAAAGAGGGAAGAGUGCGGGUAGGACUCUUCUAGUUUGGGGGAACCCAAUCUAUGUGCCCCUUUCAAUGGGGACGCAGGAGAGGGGUUGGGUCGUGGGGAUGAGUCCUAAGGAGUGUAUAUAUGCACCGAGGAGGAAAGGCAGAGCAUGUGACACAAAGGGCAAGUGCAGAAGAGUAGCUCUCACUUGACCUUGUUAGGCUUCCUGCAUGGAAUUAAAUUUCAGAAACUGGCGAGGCUCGCAAGGAGUAAUUACUGCAAUUGCCUCACCCCCUACUGUCAGCACAUGGCAAAGUUUGCUGUGGGUAGGGCAGUAGGCAGUUCUUUCCGAACAUUUCAAAAUAUUGGUAACAUUUUCUUAAAUUUCUCACCAACCCACAGAGAUGAUUUGGAGGCAUCCGAACUCUUCUGUCCAAGUCAAUGCUCAGAAAGUAUCCCAAAGCAGCAGGAGUAGAAAUGCAGUGACAAUGUAUG